UUGGCUCAGAACGAACGCUGGCGGCAUGCCUUACACAUGCAAGUCGAACGGCAGCACGGGUGCUUGCACCUGGUGGCGAGUGGCGAACGGGUGAGUAAUACAUCGGAACAUGUCCUGUAGUGGGGGAUAGCCCGGCGAAAGCCGGAUUAAUACCGCAUACGAUCUACGGAUGAAAGCGGGGGACCUUCGGGCCUCGCGCUAUAGGGUUGGCCGAUGGCUGAUUAGCUAGUUGGUGGGGUAAAGGCCUACCAAGGCGACGAUCAGUAGCUGGUCUGAGAGGACGACCAGCCACACUGGGACUGAGACACGGCCCAGACUCCUACGGGAGGCAGCAGUGGGA
rnacentral:rRNA from 1 species